rnacentral:rRNA from 1 species
GAUGAACGCUGGCGGCGUGCCUAAUACAUGCAAGUCGAGCGAACGGACGAGAAGCUUGCUUCUCUGAUGUUAGCGGCGGACGGGUGAGUAACACGUGGAUAACCUACCUAUAAUACUGGGAUAACUUCGGGAAACCGGAGCUAAUACCGGAUAAUAUUUUGAACCGCAUGGUUCAAAAGUGAAAGACGGUCUUGCUGUCACUUAUAGAUGGAUCCGCGCUGCAUUAGCUAGUUGGUAAGGUAACGGCUUACCAAGGCAACGAUGCAUAGCCGACCUGAGAGGGUGAUCGGCCACACUGGAACUGAGACACGGUCCAGACUCCUACGGGAGGCAGCAGUAGGGAAUCUUCCGCAAUGGGCGAAAGCCUGACGGAGCAACGCCGCGUGAGUGAUGAAGGUCUUCGGAUCGUAAAACUCUGUUAUUAGGGAAGAACAUAUGUGUAAGUAACUGUGCACAUCUUGACGGUACCUAAUCAGAAAGCCACGGCUAACUACGCG